GGGCAGGUGGCGAAAUGGUAGACGCGCAGCGUUCAGGACGCUGUGAGGCAACUCUUGGGGGUUCAAAUCCCCCCCUGCCCACAA
rnacentral:tRNA from 7 species